AGGACGAACGCUGGCGGCGUGCUUCAUACAUGCAAGUCGAACGAGAAGCUGACUUCGGUCAGUGGAAAGUGGCGGACGGGUGAGUAAUAUGUAGGAAAUCUGCCCUAGAGAGGGGGACAACAGAAGGAAACUUCUGCUAAUACCCCAUAUGAGCUUAGUUGAAAUACUAAUCUUGAAAACUCCGGUGCUCUAGGAUGAGCCUGCAUCUGAUUAGCUAGUUGGCGGUGUAAUGGACCACCAAGGCGACGAUCAGUAGCUGGUUUGAGAGGAUGAUCAGCCACAAUGGGACUGAGACACGGCCCAUACUCCUACGGGAGGCAGCAGUAGGGAAUUUUGCGCAAUGGGCGAAAGCCCUGACGCAGCAACGCCGCGUGAACGAUUAAGCCCUUCGGGGUGUAAAGUUCUGUCAGUAGGGACGAAACUUGACGGUACCUACAGAGGAAGCACCGGCUAACUCCGUGCCAGCCGCCGC
rnacentral:rRNA from 1 species